GCGCCGGGGGAGUAAAUGCGCCGGUGGGAGGAGGAGAGAGAAAGAGGAGGAGGAAGAAGAAAAAGAAAGAGAAGGAAGAGGAAAAAGAAAGAAAGAGGGAGGAAACAGAGAAAGAAAGAGGGGGAACCGGCGGCGAUUGCGGCACGCGGUCGGAGCACGCGCGCAGUGGUCUGACGACGGCACGUGGCGAGAUUUACGGGCACGGGUAAAGAUGAUGGCUGUCGGCUUAGGUGCCGGAACGGUGAAAUCGCUGGGAAAGUUUUCGAUAUCCGGGAGCUCAGCGGUAAAAAGAUUUUGAAAGCGAUUUUUAACGGGUGAUUUCAGUUGGCGAUUUCCACGGAUGUUACACAAGGGAAGAGUCAGAUCCCCCGACUACAUCAUCUGCUCCGUUGGAGGACUUGAUUGUUGAGGAUGUACGCAAAGUCGACGCCGGUCGCCUUGGAGCUACUAUGUCUAUGCUUCAAGACGUCAUCCGAUCGGUGGAAGUUCCCGCUGCCACGUC
rnacentral:lncRNA from 1 species